rnacentral:rRNA from 1 species
AGAGUUUGAUCCUGGCUCAGGAUGAACGCUAGCGGCAGGCUUAACACAUGCAAGUCGAGGGGUAUAGUAGCAAUACUAGAGACCGGCGCACGGGUGCGUAACGCGUAUGCAAUCUACCUUUUACAAAGGGAUAGCCCAGAGAAAUUUGGAUUAAUACCUUAUAGUAUAUUUGACUGGCAUCAUUUAAAUAUUAAAGAUUUAUCGGUAAAAGAUGAGCAUGCGUCCCAUUAGCUAGUUGGUAUGGUAACGGCAUACCAAGGCAACGAUGGGUAGGGGUCCUGAGAGGGAGAUCCCCCACACUGGUACUGAGACACGGACCAGACUCCUACGGGAGGCAGCAGUGAGGAAUAUUGGUCAAUGGGCGCAAGCCUGAACCAGCCAUGCCGCGUGCAGGAAGACGGUCCUAUGGAUUGUAAACUGCUUUUAUACGAGAAGAAACCCUACCUUGCGAGGUAGUUUGACGGUAUCGUAAGAAUAAGGAUCGGCUAACUCCGUGCCAGCAGCCGCGGUAAUACGGAGGAUCCAAGCGUUAUCCGGAAUCAUUGGGUUUAAAGGGUCCGUAGGCGGAUUUGUAAGUCAGUGGUGAAAUCUCACAGCUCAACUGUGAAAUUGCCAUUGAUACUGCAAGUCUUGAAUAAUAAGGAAGUAACUAGAAUAUGUAGUGUAGCGGUGAAAUGCUUAGAGAUUACAUGGAAUACCAAUUGCGAAGGCAGGUUACUACUUAUUUAUUGACGCUGAUGGACGAAAGCGUGGGUAGCGAACAGGAUUAGAUACCCUGGUAGUCCACGCCGUAAACGAUGGAUACUAGCUGUUGGUAGCAAUAUCAGUGGCUAAGCGAAAGUGAUAAGUAUCCCACCUGGGGAGUACGAACGCAAGUUUGAAACUCAAAGGAAUUGACGGGGGCCCGCACAAGCGGUGGAGCAUGUGGUUUAAUUCGAUGAUACGCGAGGAACCUUACCAAGGCUUAAAUGUAGUUUGACCGAUUUGGAAACAGAUUUUUCGCAAGACAAAUUACAAGGUGCUGCAUGGUUGUCGUCAGCUCGUGCCGUGAGGUGUCAGGUUAAGUCCUAUAACGAGCGCAACCCCUGUUGUGACUAACAGUGUGUUGCUUUGCUUUCACAACUUGUACUUGAUAAUUCAUAUUUUCAACUAUUCUGUCUACAGCAUUGAUCUCAACGUAACCUGCUUUAUUUAAUUUCU